UAAAUGGAAGCCAAAAUUUGAGGCAUCUAACUGUUAAUUAGAAGAAUGUUACUAAUAACCCAUUUAA
rnacentral:tRNA from 1 species